GGCGGCGCCCUUCGCGUGCGCAGCAGAGCGAUAUUUUGGACACCAGUGGACACGAAAGGUGUGUUGCGAGGCCAUUGCAAUGCCCCGCAAUUUGAGUGCGACGGAUUUUGCCGUUCCGCGAACAACGUACCUGCUGCACCAUUCCAGGCCGCUUGGUGCUCAUACUGUGGGCACAGCCCAGUACAACAUGCUCGAAUUGGGACAACCCAGGAUGUGUAUUUCUCAGCACCCAAUCAACUGCCAGAAGUGACUCACACACAGGCCACCAGGUCAACCCAGGACAUGGGUUUCUCAGCACCCAGUCAGAAGUAACUCAACCACAGGCCACCAGUGGCACUCAGCUGUACCACUGCACUGCUGCUGAAAUUGCCAGCACCAGCGGCUUUGUAACAGCUGUUUCACAGCAUCUCGGAGACAAUGCCUACAAAAUUAUUGGCCCUGAUGACGAGAGCCCUCAAGGGGCAAACGACAUCUCUGUUGCAGAAGUGAGCCCGAUACCACCUUAAGUUACCAUGACAGAUGACACGGCUGCAAUAGAUACAGAGACU